rnacentral:sRNA from 1 species
UUGAGGCUGCAGUGAGCCAUGAUCACACCACUGCACUCCAGCCUGGGUGACAGAGUAAAACCCUGUCUCUAAAAGAAAAAAAAAAAAAAGGGAUCAAGCACAUAUGUCUCCACAUAGGCGGGCAUCCUGACCCCCGUGCUCCUGACUGAGACUUCUCUGGCCUCCCCCACACUCACUGCAUCCUCUGCACCCCUGGUGUCCUCCCCUCUGGAUGGGAUUCCCUGGUGUGGGUGGGAUCCAGGAUGGGGGCUGCAGGGUGUGCAGGAGAAUGAGGGGCUUGUGCUGACCUCACUGCCAAGCCCCUGCCCCCAUCCUGGUCCUAGCCUUGGAGCAGAGGCUCAGGGCCACCUUCCACCCCACAUUUCUCUUCCCCCUCCCCCAGAUUUUCAUGUUCCAGCUGCUCCGGGGCCUCGCCUACUGUCACCACCGCAAGAUCCUGCACCGGGACCUGAAGCCCCAGAACCUGCUCAUCAACGAGAGGGGGGAGCUGAAGCUGGCCGAUUUUGGACUGGCCAGGGCCAAGUCAGUGCCCACAAAGACUUACUCCAAUGAGGUGGUGACCCUGUGGUACAGGCCCCCCGAUGUGCUGCUGGGAUCCACAGAGUACUCCACCCCCAUUGAUAUGUGGGGCGUGGGCUGCAUCCACUACGAGAUGGCCACAGGGAGGCCCCUCUUCCCGGGCUCCACAGUCAAGGAGGAGCUGCACCUCAUCUUUCGCCUCCUCGGGACCCCCACAGAAGAGACGUGGCCCGGCGUGACCGCCUUCUCUGAGUUCCGCACCUACAGCUUCCCCUGCUACCUCCCGCAGCCGCUCAUCAACCACGCGCCCAGGUUGGAUACGGAUGGCAUCCACCUCCUGAGCAGCCUGCUCCUGGUGAGUGUCCUCCCGGCGGGGCCCAGGGAGAGGCAGCCAAAGAGCCAAGUCCCUGUGCCCCAUGCCGGGCCUACGCCCCAACUUCUGUGGCUCGUGUGCUUACACGUCUUUGAAACAUCUCCCCUGUACUCUCCACCCCCAAGGCCAAGGGGUGGCCUCCAUACGCAUCCUCUGGAGUCUGUGCACUGCGAGCCCAAACCCGUUACUUAGCUGUGUAGCUCUGGGCAAGUUACAGAGCUCCUCCAUGCCUCAGUUUCCUCAGCUGCAAAGUGGGAUUAAUACCUAUUUUAUAAGAUGGCCGUGAGGAUACAUUGAGAUGACGGGACACACUUAGUGUGGUGCCUGCCUUGUAAGGCACACGAUGAAGGGUUGUUAUCGGCACUACGCUUCCUGUUACGGAUGUUCUCCAUCUGAUCAUGGUUGGUUUGCAUCUGUAUUUCUAUCCCAAGAGAAGGUCACUCUCCUGAAGUUUCAUUUCUGGUUUUUCCUGGUGGCUGGAGACCGAGGAGCCUUCCCCUGAGUCUUGAGAUGGCCUGAGGUUGGGUUUGUGGUAGGGGCUGGAGGCUGACCUGGGGCUUCUCCUGUUAGCCUCAAGCCCCACCCACCUUGGUGCUCUAACCAGCACUGGAGUCCUGCUGCCCAGAGGGUUUGCAGCCCCCCAGCCGGGCCCAAUAGCCCCACCCUGUGCCUUUCAGUAUGAAUCCAAGAGUCGCAUGUCAGCAGAGGCUGCCCUGAGUCACUCCUACUUCCGGUCUCUGGGAGAGCGUGUGCACCAGCUUGAAGACACUGCCUCCAUCUUCUCCCUGAAGGAGAUCCAGCUCCAGAAGGACCCAGGCUACCGAGGCUUGGCCUUCCAGCAGCCAGGACGAGGGAAGAACAGGCGGCAGAGCAUCUUCUGAGCCACGCCCACCUUGCUGUGGCCAAGGGACAAGAGAUCACAUGGAGCACAAAUUCGGGUAGGAUGGAGCCUGUGUGGCCCUCGGAGGACUGAAGAACGAGGGCUGACAGCCAGCCUGGAAGACCGCUUGGCAGCCCUUCUGGCCACGGCUGUUUCUUCUUUGUGCUUCCCGUGUGCCUCCCCAGUAGCCCUCACCUGCAUACCAACCCCUCCAUUACCCACGUUGGGGCUGGCAUGAGCUGCUUCCCUGAGAGGACAUGAGAGGGGGGGCGGUCCUCGUACCCUCUCCCACCCUGGUGUUUGGGCACCUGCGUGGGAUGCACAUGGAUGACAGAAUCAAGGCGCCAGGAUGGGCACUCUGCCCUGGAUACAGGCUCUACCCUCCUCCCCCAGGGCCUGCCUAGUGCCAGUUUGGUAGUCCCCCUUUCUGGCCCCUUGGAGCCCACACACGUUUCAUCUUUUUCCCCUCUGAGAGCAAGAAGAGACAUGGCAUGUUCUCUGGGACCCUGGAAUCCUAGGUACCCACAUGUGUGCCAAAGCCUACCCCACCUGGCAGGUGUCCCACAGCAACAGAAGGAAUAGUAGUCCCCACUCUUUCCAUCAGCCCUACCUUACCCUCAUUCCCCGACACCCUCUGGCUUGAACCAUGGCUGAGCAGUGCCGGCAUAUGCUUCGCCGGCAUGCUUGGAUGCCCAGCUGUGUCCAGAGGUGGCCUGGGACCGCCAGUUGCACGCCUGCCACCUCAGCCAGCCCCCGCCCAGCUCAUCAGUCUGAAUGGAGUUGCCUUAAAUUGGCAGGUGGUACCGUACUCACUGCCCUUGGAGCUGUGACCGGCUCCUGCCUGUCCACCCCUUCCCGAGGUGGCUCCUGCUUACCUUAUCAUCCCGGGGCUCUGAUUAGCCAGGCCUGGUCAGGGUCCUGGGGAUGGCACCCAGAUAUGCAGAGUCACCCUGACACUGGUGCCAGGCUGACCUCAGCUCCCGAAGGCUCGCACAGCCUCCCCAUCCUUCCUUCCCGGCCCUUGUGGCUCUGUCCACCUGAUCCCAAUACCAGCUUCCCCCAGCCCCUGCCACCCCAGAGGGCGGCCACGACAGGGAGAGGUGUAGAUGCCACCAUCUGAGGGAGAGGAACGUGGAACAGGAGCAGGCUCUGAUGCUGAGAGGCUUGCCUCCGGGGGCUGGAAGCCUGGGUGGCCAGGGCCCCUGAAGAAGGCUCCCCUCUGUAUCCCCCAGGUCUCCUCAACACUGGGCUGAUCCUGAAUGGCACAGGCCAAGGGGAGGCCAGCCUCGCCUUUCUACCCAGGCCCCCUGCCCUGCCCACCUCAGGCCCCCACCCUCCACUCCUCCCCACGGUACUGUGAACGUUGUGUGACUCAGUGCAGAGACAGAUAAUAUAUUUAAUUCAUGUACAGAAAGGA